UACGUAGGGUGCGAGCGUUAAUCGGAAUUACUGGGCGUAAAGCGUGCGCAGGCGGUUUUGUAAGUUUGGUGUGAAAUCUCCCGGCUCAACUGGGAGGGUGCGCCGAAAACUGCAAGGCUGGAGUGUGGGAGAGGUAGGCGGAAUUCCUGGUGUAGCGGUGAAAUGCGUAGAUAUCAGGAGGAACACCUGUGGUGUAGACGGCUUACUGGACCAUGACUGACGCUGAGGCACGAAAGCGUGGGGAGCAAACAGG
rnacentral:rRNA from 1 species